CCUACGGGUGGUAGCAGUGGGGAAUAUUGGACAAUGGGGGGAACCCUGAUCCAGCCAUGCCGCGUGUGUGAAGAAGGCCCUCGGGUUGUAAAGCACUUUCAGUGAGGAAGAACGCCUGGUGGUUAAUACCCAUCAGGAAAGACAUCUCUCACAGAAGAAGCACCGGCUAACUCCGUGCCAGCAGCCGCGGUAAUACGGAGGGUGCGAGCGUUAAUCGGAAUUACUGGGCGUAAAGCGCGCGUAGGUGGCUUGAUAAGCCGGUUGUGAAAGCCCCGGGCUCAACCUGGGAACGGCAUCCGGAACUGUCAAGCUAGAGUGCAGGAGAGGAAGGUAGAAUUCCCGGUGUAGCGGUGAAAUGCGUAGAGAUCGGGAGGAAUACCAGUGGCGAAGGCGGCCUUCUGGACUGACACUGACACUGAGGUGCGAAAGCGUGGGUAGCAAACAGGAUUAGAUACCCCUGUAGUC
rnacentral:rRNA from 1 species